AUCGGCAUUAUUCCAGCCAUAUAGUGACGAGAACAAGUCUGCAUUAAUAUACAUUGUAAGUACAAAGUGGUUUCGUUUCAAAGACACACAUUCAUUACAUUGUCAUUUUGGAACAGAGAAUGUCCUAGCACUAAAUUGAAAUGCAGGAAAAUUCAAAACUUGAUCAUAUA